rnacentral:rRNA from 1 species
UACGAGUUUGAUCAUGGCUCAGGACGAACGCUGGCGGCGUGCCUAAUACAUGCAAGUCGAGCGGACCAAAGGGAGCUUGCUCCUGGAGGUUAGCGGCGAACGGGUGAGUAACACGUGGGCAACCUGCCUGUAAGACUGGGAUAACAUCGAGAAAUCGGUGCUAAUACCGGAUAAUAAAAAGAACUGCAUGGUUCUUUUUUUGAAAGAUGGUUUCGGCUAUCACUUACAGAUGGGCCCGCGGCGCAUUAGCUAGUUGGUGAGGUAACGGCUCACCAAGGCGACGAUGCGUAGCCGACCUGAGAGGGUGAUCGGCCACACUGGGACUGAGACACGGCCCAGACUCCUACGGGAGGCAGCAGUAGGGAAUCUUCCGCAAUGGACGAAAGUCUGACGGAGCAACGCCGCGUGAGUGAUGAAGGUUUUCGGAUCGUAAAACUCUGUUGUUAGGGAAGAACAAGUGCCGUUCGAAAGGGCGGCACCUUGACGGUACCUAACGAGAAAGCCACGGCUAACUACGUG